rnacentral:rRNA from 1 species
UACGUAGGGUGCAAGCGUUAAUCGGAAUUACUGGGCGUAAAGCGUGCGCAGGCGGCUUUGCAAGACAGAUGUGAAAUCCCCGGGCUCAACCUGGGAACUGCAUUUGUGACUGCAUGGCUAGAGUACGGGUAGAGGGGGAUGGAAUUCCGCGUGUAGCAGUGAAAUGCGUAGAUAUGCGGAGGAACACCGAUGGCGAAGGCAAUCCCCUGGACCUGUACUGACGCUCAUGCACGAAAGCGUGGGGAGCAAACAGG